rnacentral:rRNA from 1 species
ACCUGUUGAGGCCUGCAUAUUACUGACAAGGUGCGCGAUGAACCUCCUUCGGGAGGGGAUUAUUGGCGAACGGGUGAGUAACACGUGGGCAAUCUGCCCUUCACUCUGGGACAAGCCCUGGAAACGGGGUCUAAUACCGGAUAACACUGCGGAUCGCAUGGUCUGCGGUUGAAAGCUCCGGCGGUGAAGGAUGAGCCCGCGGCCUAUCAGCUUGUUGGUGGGGUGAUGGCCUACCAAGGCGACGACGGGUAGCCGGCCUGAGAGGGCGACCGGCCACACUGGGACUGAGACACGGCCCAGACUCCUACGGGAGGCAGCAGUGGGGAAUAUUGCACAAUGGGCGAAAGCCUGAUGCAGCGACGCCGCGUGAGGGAUGACGGCCUUCGGGUUGUAAACCUCUUUCAGCAGGGAAGAAGCGAAAGUGACGGUACCUGCAGAAGAAGCGCCGGCUAACUACGUGCCAGCAGCCGCGGUAAUACGUAGGGCGCAAGCGUUGUCCGGAAUUAUUGGGCGUAAAGAGCUCGUAGGCGGCUUGUCGCGUCGGAUGUGAAAGCCCGGGGCUUAACCCCGGGUCUGCAUUCGAUACGGGCAGGCUAGAGUGUGGUAGGGGAGAUCGGAAUUCCUGGUGUAGCGGUGAAAUGCGCAGAUAUCAGGAGGAACACCGGUGGCGAAGGCGGAUCUCUGGGCCAUUACUGACGCUGAGGAGCGAAAGCGUGGGGAGCGAACAGGAUUAGAUACCCUGGUAGUCCACGCCGUAAACGUUGGGAACUAGGUGUUGGCGACAUUCCACGUCGUCGGUGCCGCAGCUAACGCAUUAAGUUCCCCGCCUGGGGAGUACGGCCGCAAGGCUAAAACUCAAAGGAAUUGACGGGGGCCCGCACAAGCAGCGGAGCAUGUGGCUUAAUUCGACGCAACGCGAAGAACCUUACCAAGGCUUGACAUCGCCCGGAAAGCAUCAGAGAUGGUGCCCCCCUUGUGGUCGGGUGACAGGUGGUGCAUG